ACUCUCCUUGUUUGUCAUAAUUGGAAUGACAUUAGGCUCAUUCUUCUGAGGUUGGGUCACAAAAUACUUGGGCUAAUCCAUAUUGACUAUGACUAACUAAUUUCAGGGGUAAAGGUACAACCCAGAUUCAGAGUCGGCCCUUGAAUUUCUUGCCAAGACACUGCCAAUGGGCUGUGGUGACAUUAGGCUCCAAAGGCUGCAACGCGAAACACGGGAAAGAGGUAUGUUCUAUGUGCCGUGUCUUCCACUUGACGUUUUAGUUCCAACUCUAACCACCAAAGUGGAAACAAGAAGCAUCAAAUGAACAUCACAAGGGCAAUGAGUAAUGUGAGACAAACCAAAAUCAUCAUAUGAAAUCUCUGCUAAUGUAUAUAAUUUUCCAAAGUUCUAUCUGCGACACUGACGAGGAGGAGGCUCUGGCAAAAGUUCUAUUAGCGUUCAUGAAAUAUGCUGGAAAUUGGAGAAUUUUCUGGAUCAGUUUCUGCAGUUCAACUCUUGCAUCCAUUUGUGCAAAAUCUGGAUAAGUAUCUGGUGUCCAUAUUAGCAGCAGUCAUGCCUUCUAAGAAAUGCUGGAAACAAAUGGUGGUGGCUUGUGCACGUGGUUAUUUGCAGAAGCUCAUCGGGUCGGAUGGCGCAAGUUUAUGGGGACUCUUUCUUAGGCCUUAAGUUGAGCAACAACAGAAGAGGUGACCGAGUUCGAAUACUGUUAAUCUUCUAUCAAAAAAUUGAUGUUAGCAAAUCUAACACAAAAGUGUUGAGUAUACAAUGAAGUUGAUGAGAGCAAUCGAUGUGAGUGUGGUUGUUAGGACUAAUGGAGAGUGAAUAUCCAGAUUUCAGCAUUGAAGAGAAGUUAAAUGCUUUUGUUGCGUUGAUUGAUCUACUCAGAGUUGGUUCCAGUAUCAAAAUGGAGGGGUAAAGAUACAACCCAGAUUCAGAGUCGGCCCUUGAAUUUCUCGCCAAAACACUGCCAAUGGGCUGUGGUGACAUUAGGCUCCAAAGGCUGCAACGCGAAACACGGGAAAGAGGUAUGUUCUAUGUGCCGUGUCUUCCACUUGACGUUUUAGUUCCAACUCUAACCACCAAAGUGGAAACAAGAAGCAUCAAAUGAACAUCACAAGGGCAAUGAGUAAUGUGAGACAAACCAAAAUCAUCAUAUGAAAUCUCUGCUAAUGUAUAUAAUUUUCCAAAGUUCUAUCUGCGACACUGACGAGGAGGAGGCUCUGGCAAAAGUUCUAUUAGCGUUCAUGAAAUAUGUUGGAAAUUGGAGAAUUUUCUGGAUCAGUUUCUGCAGUUCAACUCCUGCAUCCAUUUGUGCAAAAUCUGGAUAAGUAUCUGGUGUCCAUAUUAGCAGCAGUCAUGCCUUCUCAGAAAUGCUGGAAACAAAUGGUGGUGGCUUGUGCACGUGGUUAUUUGCAGAAGCUCGUCGGGUGGGAUGGCACAAGUUUAUGGGGACUCUUUCUUACGCCUUAAGUUGAGCAACAACAGAAGAGGUGACCGAGUUCGGAUACUUCUAUCAAAAAAUUGAUGUUAGCAAAUCUAACACAAAAGUGUUGAGUAUACAAUGAAGUUGAUGAGAGCAAUCGAUGUGAGUGUGGUUGUUAGGACUAAUGGAGAGUGAAUAUCCAGAUUUCAGCAUUGAAGAGAAGUUAAAUGCUUUUGUUGCGUUGAUUGAUCUACUCAGAGUUGGUUCCAGUAUCAAAAUGGAGGGGUAAAGAUACAACCCAGAUUCAGAGUCGGCCCUUGAAUUUCUCGCCAAAACACUGCCAAUGGGCUGUGGUGACAUUAGGCUCCAAAGGCUGCAUCGCGGAACACGGGAAAGAGGUAUGUUCUAUGUGUCGUGUCUUCCACUUGACGUUUUAGUUCCAACUCUAACCACCAAAGUGGAAACAAGAAGCAUCAAAUGAACAUCACAAUGGCAAUGAGUAAUGUGGGACAAACCAAAAUCAUCAUAUGAAAUCUCUGCUAAUGUAUAUAAUUUUCCAAAGUUCUAUCUGCGACAUUGAUGAGGAGGAGGCUCUGGCAAAAGUUCUAUUAGCGCUCAUGAAA